GACGAACGCUGGCGGCGUGCUUAACACAUGCAAGUCGGACGGUAAGGCCCUUCGGGGUACACGAGUGGCGAACGGGUGAGUAACACGUGGGUGAUCAGCCCUGCACUUCGGGAUAAGCCUGGGAAACUGGGUCUAAUACCGGAUAGGACUAUUGCCUGCAUGGGUGGUGGUGGAAAGCUUUUGCGGUGUGGGAUGGGCCCGCGGCCUAUCAGCUUGUUGGUGGGGUGCUGGCCUACCAAGGCGACGACGGGUAGCCGGCCUGAGAGGGUGACCGGCCACACUGGGACUGAGAUACGGCCCAGACUCCUACGGGAGGCAGCAGUGGGGAAUAUUGCACAAUGGGCGCAAGCCUGAUGCAGCGACGCCGCGUGAGGGAUGACGGCCUUCGGGUUGUAAACCUCUUUCAGCACCGACGAAGCGCAAGUGACGGUAGGUGCAGAAGAAGGACCGGCCAACUACGUGCCAGCCGCCGCGGUAA
rnacentral:rRNA from 1 species